GUUUUAGUUCUUGAAUUAAACUUCGUGAGUUUUGAUUCUUGAAUUUGUUAUAAUGUGGAGCAAUGAUCAUUUUAGUUAACUUCAUUCACUACUAUAUCAUUUUGCCGACAAAUAUAAAGCCAACAAAACAAAAUUUUUGUUCCCCCGACGAAUAUUUAAUUUGUAGACUCCAAACUUCUAGACCUACGCCUACCAAAAUGUUGUUGGCAGAGAACAUUCAACCCGACGAAUAAACUAAAGGUCGGCGAAAACAUGCCGGUUCGUCAUCAAGAAAGGGGCGCAAAUUAUUAAUUCCUUCCCGCCCCUUUAUGUUUUGUCUUUCCGAUUACCCCGCUUAAUUUUUUCUUCGAAAGAAUUUUCCCCUUAAAUCUAGAUACAAUGUUUGACAAACCCUAUUAUUUGUGGAUAACCGUCACCUCUUCUCUCUCUCUCUCUCUCACAAAGCGCUGCUCUUGGCUUUCCGUCGACAUUGUUUUUUUUUUUCGCGCCGUCGCCGUGGCUUCAUCUACUCUCCGUUGCUGCUGCCGUUGCUGUUGAAGGGCCCCUUCUAUUCUAGCUUCGAAAUCUCCAAUAUAGAGUGUUUCUCUGCAUUUCGUUUAUCUUAAACAUUUGGGAACUGCUUAUGAAGAGAAUGAAGUAGCAAAUUUUUCAUACAAUCAUCAAUACUAAAGUUGCAGAAUGAAUCUAAGGAUGUAAGUUUCCCUACAAACUUAGUUAGACUUGAAAGUUUCUUUGAAAGUUUGCAAGUUUUAUUUCUCUUCAUUGACAAAAAUUCAUAGAUUGGCUGCUUGUGACAUACUCACUUGUAGUAGUAGAGGGAAGGGCAUGUUAUCAUGGACAAAGAAUGCAUUCACCAGUCAAGGUUAAUUUCAAAUCCCUGAACCCUUAAAUGCUAUUGCACGAUUGUAUGUGUCGGUUUGGAUCAUGUUGUAAGAACUACUACUUUAUGCUGAAAGCCUUUAUUCUCCAUGUAGUCAUUCAAUAAAUUUAUCUUUAUUUAACUUCAUCACAAAUAGCUAAGCCAUAUACAUUUUGAACUUUAAAUAGAGUGGAUGGUUCACAUUUAGGAUUGUCAAUAUGAGCUACAGCUGCAUGAAAGGAUUUAUAAGGUUUUGGUGGAAUAAGUGAAGAUUCAUCUGGGUAAUUGAUGACUAGUAACUUGAAAUGAUCUUCAAAUUAUACACAUCAGAGAUAUUAUUAAUUGUAGACAUUACUUUUCUAAGUAUAUUGGCAAUGUGUUUGUUGGCUGGGAAGUUGUGUCAUAUGUGAUAUAGGUAUUAAUCUUCCCUAUUGGGUAUAUUGUUACAUGUUCUUUGCUCUCAAGUAUGCUGCAGGUGCAAGAUGGUUAUGAUUGUGCAGGUGCUAGUGCUAGAUGGUUUUGAGUAUAUAGGGGCAAGAUGCAAGAUGUGUUGUGAUGCUACAUGGCAGCCAAUUUUGAGGAAUGACAGUAGGAUAAUUUUAUUAUGUGACAUGCUUUUGUAUAAGUACUCUAGAUGUACGUUCCAAACUUAUCAAUCAAUAAAGUAUUAUUGUAUUUUGAUUUU